UCCUCGAUAGCUCAAUGGCAGAGCACACGGCUGUUAACCGUGGGGUUGUAGGUUCGAGUCCUACUCGGGGAG
rnacentral:tRNA from 1 species